rnacentral:rRNA from 1 species
GAUGAACGCUGGCGGCGUGCCUAAUACAUGCAAGUCGAGCGAACGGACGAGAAGCUUGCUUCUCUGACGUUAGCGGCGGACGGGUGAGUAACACGUGGAUAACCUACCUAUAAGACUGGGAUAACUUCGGGAAACCGGAGCUAAUACCGGAUAAUAUUUUGAACCGCAUGGUUCAAAAGUGAAAGACGGUCUUGCUGUCACUUAUAGAUGGAUCCGCGCUGCAUUAGCUAGUUGGUAAGGUAACGGCUUACCAAGGCAACGAUGCGUAGCCGACCUGAGAGGGUGAUCGGCCACACUGGAACUGAGACACGGUCCAGACUCCUACGGGAGGCAGCAGUAGGGAAUCUUCCGCAAUGGGCGAAAGCCUGACGGAGCAACGCCGCGUGAGUGAUGAAGGUCUUCGGAUCGUAAAACUCUGUUAUUAGGGAAGAACAAAUGUGUAAGUAACUAUGCACGUCUUGACGGUACCUAAUCAGAAAGCCACGGCUAACUACGUG